rnacentral:rRNA from 1 species
GAUGAACGCUGGCGGCGUGCCUAAUACAUGCAAGUCGAGCGAACGGACGAGAAGCUUGCUUCUCUGAUGUUAGCGGCGGACGGGUGAGUAACACGUGGAUAACCUACCUAUAAGACUGGGAUAACUUCGGGAAACCGGAGCUAAUACCGGAUAAUAUUUUGAACCGCAUGGUUCAAAAGUGAAAGACGGUCUUGCUGUCACUUAUAGAUGGAUCCGCGCUGCAUUAGCUAGUUGGUAAGGUAACGGCUUACCAAGGCAACGAUGCAUAGCCGACCUGAGAGGGUGAGCGAACACACUGUAACUGAUACACGGUCCAGACUCCUACGGGAGGCAGCAGUAGGGAAUCUUCCGCAAUGGGCGAAAGCCUGACGGAGCAACGCCGCUUGAGUGAUGAAGGUCUUCGGAUCGGACAACUCUGUUAUUAGGGAAGAACAUAUGUGUAAUUAACUGUGCACAUCUUGACGGUACCUAAUCAGAAAGCCACGGCUAACUACGUG